GCUUCAGAGAAAGAAGAGGUAAGGAAAUAUAAGUCAAUGUAAACGCAUAACGUUAUUUUAUUCACAUAUACAAAGUGGUAUGACAAAAAAGCACGAUGCCAAAUCGGGUUUUUUUCUGUUAGUUGCGAAUGUAUUCGUUAUAGUAGUUAAUUUGCUAGUCCACGGGAUGUUCCCGCCGAAAUUGGACUUCGUUAUUAUGAAUAUUAAUAAAUUAAUAUGAGGUGUGUUUUUAUCAACUUAACCACUUGGUUGUUUUUGCUUCAGAAAAGCAACUAGUUAUAAAUGUAAGGGCUUUUUUGGACAACUUCGGUGAAAAAGUGUUGAUUUCGUAGUUCAGUCAGCGUAACUUAUAUCCGAGAGGUCUUACAGGCGCCACAGACACCUAUCAGCCUUUUGUAAGGAGGAGCAGCUCGAGUGCGGUGCGGUCAGUAGCCCUUCAAAUUAGAAAAGUGAGGAUGAUCUUGUCAAUGCUGAGAUUUUCAUGCAUCAGCAGCCACUACAUCUGGAUCAGAUUGAACAAGAAACAGACAGCAAGGGUUGUCAGAUCAGAAACAGAAUGACACACAAACACAAGAAACUUCACAGGUG